UGUAGGGUGUGUGUGAAGCUAAGCUCUCUGCACCAGGGGCUUUUGAGUUCAUAAAAAUCAUUGCUCAGACAACCUGAGUUCUCAUGGCCAUUCCUAAAGAGCUGGCCUCAAACUAUACACACAGUUAGCAAAAAAGCCUGGCCGGCUUUGCCUGGGAAACCACUUAAAGUUAAGGAAUUUAUGUCCACGUGUGUCCAGGCCUCAUCUGCUUUCACUCACGGUCCUGCAGUGGAGGCUGUCAUCUCUUCACCGGCAGCUGGGCAGCACAGGGUGGGGUAGGGGCUACUGUUUCUGCCUGCCUGCCUGCCUCCAGCCUUCCUCUCUUCCCGCCUUCGAGCCCUUUCAUGAUUAAUUCUUUAAAUCCGAUCCUUUCACUGAGGAAUGAGCUAGCGUGGGUUUCUUUGUCCUCAAAGGGUCGGCAUUAGGCUGUGAGGACCUUCAAACAGAAUUCUAUCCUCCUUUAAAGAUGAAAAAAAAAUCGAUUCCCCUUUUAUAAAUUAUGAAGAUAUUUAGCUAAUUACGUUGAAGAUAUACAUUAUUAGGAUUAUCCGCAGGAUGGCAGUGGCAGAUGGAUGUCUGUGGGGUAAAGGGAGGGUUAUUCUCAUAGCCUCUUCGUUGCUCUAAGUGCACUAGGAAAGUAGGAUUUCUUCAGGGCUUUACAUGUUUUAGAACUGUAUGUACGUGAGGGAAAGGAACCCUCUUCUUAAUCCUCCCCAGUGUGCUUCUCCAGGACUCACAAAGGUGUUGUUGCUUAGGCAGUUACACUGUGAUUCCUUUGUCUAACAGAGAUCAAAAGCUACGUGGCCACAGCAAAAGAAAAAAAAAAAAACAACCUCACUCCACUGACUACUUUGAGGCGAGCAUCCACAGAGCAUGGGAAAUCCAGUUCCCUAGCUGCUUGAUGGUGGUAAGAUUUCUCUGUGAAGACAUUCUCAGAUCUCUGAAGACCUGGGGACAAUCCUUAGAGCAAUGAUGCCACCUGGAUUUCUGGAUUCAUUCACAAGAAUCAAGACACGAGAUUUAUGCCGGAGACAUGACUGAUUGACCCAAAGGUGAACAUCUGAGGAAUACCAGACCAAUGAGAGUCCUUUCUCAGAACCUUUCAAAUGGGAACAACAACAAGAAGAGGAAGUUGGGGAGGUGACAUCAUACCGUGGGGAUGUUGUCAUAUGGUUCGUGUCCUCAAAACCCUGAUAAGAGAUCAAAGCAUAAAACAGCAGACAAAAGAUGAAAAGAGGGGCUGUUGGAAUGGCUCAGUGGGUAAGGGCACUCGCUAUCAAGAACAACCCAAGUGCUGUCCCCGAAGCCAGCACAGCAGAGGAAGGGAACUGACUCCUGGAUGUUAUCCUCGGACAUCCACACAUACACUGUAGCCUGCGUGCCCCACCCCCAUGAAUGUUUUCAUUAUAAAGAUCGGAGGAUGUGCAGAAUCAAGUCCCCAGCUGACUUCCCCCGCAGUUCAGCAGCCCUUUCCCACAGUCGUGAGAUCCACCUCCAACAAAUUCCCAUUGCUGGGCUCCAUUGCUGACAAACGGCUUCCGUCCCUGGAAUCAAGUCUUAACUGACACGUCCUCUUCCAUUUCCUGACUGUGACUAGAUCACGCUCAGGCAAGUCCUCUGCUUCCUAGGGUGUACCUAGGGGUUUGGGUGACCUCAAGGAAGAAAGCCACAAAGCCCUUAGGAUAUCUUGUGUUAGGUGAGGCCAUAACUUAGUGGUAAAGUACUUGCCUAGAGUGUGUAAAAACCUGAGGAAAAUUCCAGUAACCUCCUCCCACCACACACACACCAGCCUUAUUGUCAGGCAGAUGCUGGGUAUUAUAGUGAAUGACUAUAAUCCUAGCAUUCAAGACACAGAAGCAGGAAGACCAAG